GACCAUCCUUUCUAACACCUCCUAUUCUGUUACGAUUGAUAUACUAGAGAGAAAUGAGCACAGCAUGAUCCUUGCACAACAAGCUACACAUGAAUUACCAGAACACUAAUAUUUGAGAACUGUAUUUAAAUGAACCACAUCUACUAACCUGAAAAGUAUUAAAAGUAUGGGGAAAUUUAAUAUACAGUUUAACUGAUCCCCUAGAGUUGGACAGAACUAAAUGAUUAUAGACAAUGCUGCAUGCAUUGCCUACAUCUAUAGAGAGUCAUGCACCAUGUUGGAGUUAGUAUUGACAGAACCUCACACCUCCUGCAUUUGCACCAUCUGGAUUUUUUUAUUUGCUGUAGAUCUUUUGGCAGAGUGAAUAACAACUGCUCAUUCACUAGUUUCCAACCCACGAAUUCAAACAAAAAUAAGCUUUCAGGGCCUCAAUCUAUAUCUGAAGUCUACCAAACAAGUAAAAAUUUACAUGUGAAAGGAUUUGCAAUCAAUGAGCCCUCUCUUCAUCAUCAAAAUGUAGAGUCUCAAUUCCUUUGAGCGCCGAUUCAUAGUUCUUUAUCCCAGAAGUAUUCUUGCUAGAUGAGGCAUACCUAGGAUCAGAUGAUCCACCAAGUAGAGAGCUUCUAUGUCCACCUGAUAUUUUGUGCAUAGUUGCUGGACUUGCCUCAGGCGUGCGAGAAUGUGUAGGGUCAGAGUCAUUUCCCAUGGUGAAAGUCUCACGGCUGCCAGAGACUAGACCUUGCCUCAGAGACCCACUAGGUCUUCCCAGAAAACUGGAGCUUGACAACAUAGCCUCUUUGCUCGUGGAAUCAUUUCCAAUAGGACUUUUCUGCCUGGAUAAACUUCCAGAAGUAAUCAGUGGUGGCACAGGACUUCUCCUCCGAGAGGGAUCUGCUGAUUGUCUUCCUUCAUCUUCACCUGCCUGUCUUUCUGCCUUGGGAAUAACUGGAGGCAUGCCUGAGCUGGUUCCAGCA
rnacentral:misc_RNA from 1 species